rnacentral:rRNA from 1 species
CCUACGGGAGGCAGCAGUGGGGAAUAUUGGACAAUGGGCGAAAGCCUGAUCCAGCCAUGCCGCGUGUGUGAAGAAGGCCUUCGGGUUGUAAAGCACUUUCAGUGGGGAAGAAAGCCUUGGGGCUAAUACCCUCGAGGAAGGACAUCACCCACAGAAGAAGCACCGGCUAACUCCGUGCCAGCAGCCGCGGUAAUACGGAGGGUGCGAGCGUUAAUCGGAAUUACUGGGCGUAAAGCGCGCGUAGGCGGUCUGAUAAGCCGGUUGUGAAAGCCCCGGGCUCAACCUGGGAACGGCAUCCGGAGCUGUCAGGCUAGAGUGCAGGAGAGGAAGGUAGAAUUCCCGGUGUAGCGGUGAAAUGCGUAGAGAUCGGGAGGAAUACCAGUGGCGAAGGCGGCCUUCUGGACUGACACUGACGCUGAGGUGCGAAAGCGUGGGUAGCAAACAGGAUUAGAUACCCGUGUAGUC